rnacentral:rRNA from 1 species
UGGGGAAUCUUGCGCAAUGGGGGCAACCCUGACGCAGCCAUACCGCGUGUGCGAUGAAGGUCUUCGGAUUGUAAAGCACUUUCAGUGGGGAAGACGAUGACGGUACCCACAGAAGAAGUCACGGCUAACUUCGUGCCAGCAGCCGCGGUAAUACGAAGGUGGCGAAUGUUGCUCGGAUUCACUGGGCGUAAAGCGUCGGUAGGUGGUUUAUUAAGUCAGAGGUGAAAGCCCCGCGCUCAACGUGGGAAUUGCCUUUGAAACUGGUAGACUUGAAGGUAUGAGAGGAUGGCGGAAUGACUGGUGUAGAGGUAAAAUUCAUAGAUAUCAGUCGGAACACCCAAGGCGAAGGCAGCUAUCUGGCAUAUUCUUGACACUGAGCGACGAC